rnacentral:snRNA from 1 species
GUGCUUGCUUCCACAGCACAUACACUAAAACUGCAACAAUCCAGAGAAGAUUGGCAUGGCUCCUGCGCAAGGAUGACACGCAAAUGCAGGAAGCCCCCAUAUUUCAU